GGGGCUGUAGUUCACUUGGCUAGAACGUCGCAUUUGCAAUGCGAAGGUAGUGGGUUCGAAUCCCACCAGCUCCA
rnacentral:tRNA from 1 species